UGGCCAGACUCCUACGGGAGGCAGCAGUGGGGAAUACUGCACAAUGGGGGAAACCCUGAUGCAGCGACGCCGCGUGAGUGAAGAAGUAAUUCGGUAUGUAAAGCUCUAUCAGCAGGGAAGAGAAUGACGGUACCUGACUAAGAAGCCCCGGCUAACUACGUGCCAGCAGCCGCGGUAAUACGUAGGGGGCAAGCGUUAUCCGGAUUUACUGGGUGUAAAGGGGGCGCAGACGGCAAUGCAAGCCAGGAGUGAAAGCCCGGGGCCCAACCCCGGGACUGCUCUUGGAACUGCAUGGCUGGAGUACAGGAGGGGCAGGCGGAAUUCCUAGUGUAGCGGUGAAAUGCGUAGAUAUUAGGAGGAACACCGGUGGCGAAGGCGGCCUGCUGGACUGUGACUGACGUUGAGGCCCGAAGGCGUGGGGAGCAAACAGGAUUAGAUACCCCAGUAU
rnacentral:rRNA from 1 species